GCCUGUGACUGAUGCUGCAGGAAGGCUGAGCCAAGAGGCCACUGGAGCCAUCUCUUGGUGCUCCAGGACUUGGACUCUGCCCUGAAGUUGACUACAGAAGUUCCAGAGUCUCCUUUAGCAGCUCUGCUUUCAGCAGAAAGGAAGCACCAAAAAUGAGAGAUUUUUGAAGGCAAAGUUUCAACCUCUGCUGGAUGAGAGAGACCCUACAUUUCAAGAGCCAAGGAUGCCAAAUGACACAAAAGAUACUUUGUGUUCUUGAUCCCAGUGGUGAUGUCUCCUCUGUGAACAUUUCCUUUCAGGAAAGUUUGACUUCCCUGAUACAUUCUAUGAUUCUAAAAGGGAAGUAUUUUACUCUUGUAAUACCCAAGUGUAAAUGACUCAGAACAAAUAUAAAUUUUGU